GAGGGUAUAGCUCAAGUGGCAGAGCAUGUGCUCGGCACCUAAGAGGUCCUGGGUUCAAUCCCCAGUAUCUCCU
rnacentral:tRNA from 1 species